rnacentral:tRNA from 1 species
GUGAAAGUAGCUCAGGUGGUAGAGCAUUGGACUGUGGAUCCAAGGGUCGCGGGUUCAAAUCCCGUCUUUCACC